rnacentral:lncRNA from 12 species
UUCUGUUCUCUGACUUCAGAAUGACUUAAAGUCUGCCACAACAACAGUAAUCCCAGGACCUUCCAAAGUGCUGUGCUCCAUAGAGCUAUUCCCUUGAAGAUGACAGUCAGAAGUCAAGGACCUGAUUCAGGAAGCAAGAUCUGUGCAUACCUGCGAAUUGCAAUGUUUCCAGAAGACUCAUUAUAAUCAUCACUGAAUAUUUAUUGAGAACCCACUGGGCACAGAGAACUGUACUAGGCAUGUGAUCAAGAGAGAGCCUAUUUCCAGCCAAGUCCUUUUGUUUCCAUCCUGUUCUGGGAGUAAUAACAUACCUAAGGAAAGUGAAAUUCUACACAUAAUCAAACUUAUUAUCUGAUUUGAUCAUUAUUUUGAUUGCUACUUAUGAUUUAUAAUAGAGGUCAUUAUUUUAUUACAUACUGUCUGUAUAUAAUUAAGUUACUUUAAAUGAAGACUUUCAUUCAGCUCAAGUUAGUAAGAAUAAUGUAUUUCUGAUUUUCUCAUCAUCAACUGAAGAGAAAUUGAGCCACAAAAAAAGCAAGAUUCAACAGAGCUAUAUCCCUGAAGCCGGACCACCUGGAUUGAGAUCCAAGCUUCACGUUUACAAAUUACAUCACUCUGAGUGCCUCAAUCUCUUCAUAUGUAAGACGGAUAUGGAUAAAUGCCAUACCUAAUGAAAGGAAUUAUCACAGGGACUAAAUAAGGUAAUAUUUGUAAAGCACAUAAAAUAGUACCUGGCACAAGGUAAGCAUUUUACCAGUGGUGAUUAAGUUUAAAUUUUAACUUUUAAAAAUUAUUUGCUUAAUUUCUUAAUGCUCUACAAUGUCUCUCAUCAAGUAAAUUCAAGAAUUAACUUCCUUAUUAGCAUUUUUUACAUUAAUUUAUUUUUUUAUUAGCUGUAUUGAGGUAUAAAUGACAUACAACUGAUAAUAAACUACAUAUAUUUAAAUUGUAAAAUGUGACC